rnacentral:lncRNA from 1 species
AUCUGGGAAUCCCUUCAGGGAUCCUCCGGAGCAGAAUCCGGGAAUCACAGAAUCCCUUUGGGGAUCCUCCGGGGCAGGAAUCUGGGAAUCCCUUUGGGGAUCCUCCAGAGCAUUGGGAAUCUGGGAAUCAUGGGAUCCCUUUGGGAAUCCUAUGGAGCACUGGGAAUCUGAGAAUCCCUUCAGGGAUCCUCCAGAGUGCCAGGAAUCCAGGAAUCACAGAAUCCCUCCAUGGAUCCUCAAUCUGGGAAUCACGGAAUCCCUUUGGGGAUCCUCUGGAGCCCCGGGAAUCCAGGAACCAUGGAAUCCCUUCGGGGAUCCUCAGUCCAGGAAUCCAGGAAUCCCUUUGGGGAUCCUCCGGAGCACCGGGAAUCCGGGAAUCACGGAAUCCCUUCGGGGAUCCUAUGGAGCACCAGGAAUCUGAGAAUCCCUUCAGGGAUCCUCCGGAGAGCCUCAAUCCGGGAAUCAUGGGAUCCCUUUGGAGAUCCUCCGGAGCAGAAUCCGGGAACCACGGGAUCCCUUUGGGGAUCCUCAAUCUGGGAAUCAUGGAAACCCUUCAGGGAUCCUCCGGAGCAUCAGGAAUCCGGGAAUCAUGGAAUCCCUUCGGGGGAUCCUCAAUCCGGGAAUCCCAGGGGAUCCCUCUGGGGAUCCUCCAGAGCACCAGAAAUCCGGGAAUCCCGGGGGAUCGCUUUGGGAACGGUUUUUCCCGCAGGCAGCUGGCGCAGAGCAGCGCCGAGCGGUUCCGGCAGGUUUGGAUCGUCAACGAGGAGGAGGCCAAGGCGCUGAUCCGGCAAGCGCUGGACGCCGAUCGGAUCAUCCACGUCCAGCAGCUGGGAAUUCCCUGGGAAGAGCCGCGGCUGGGACUCCUGGAGAACGUGGGACCCCUGGGAGGCCGCCGGGAAAAGCGGGACGCCCUGCAGGUGGCCACGGAACUGCUGGAAGGGAUCAAAUCCGGGAAAAGGGAGCGGGAAGGGAGGAGGAGCAGGAAGAAAGGCGGAGAGGGGAGGAAGGAAAAGCAGGAAAACUCGGAGCCAAGAGUCACCAGCCAGCCCAACAUUCCCAGGAAAACCCUCCGGAAAAUGCUGGAGCUCCUGAGCGAGGAGUCGGUGAGCUCGGGAUCCGGGAGCCAGCCCCAUCCGGGGUUUGUUUUUUUUUUCGGGAAUCCCUUUGGAAUCAGGGCUGGGAAUGCUCAGUGCGGCUCUUCCCGGCUUUUUUUUUUUUUUUUUUUUUUUUUUCCCUCCCAAGGAAUUCCUG